UGCAUUUUUCAUACCAAGUUACAAAAAAUAUUAAAUUAAUUUUGGAACCACUAAUUAAUUCAACAUACUGCAUUUAAUAACUAAAUGAAGUUAUGAACCACUUAUCCGGGUCCCAUACAGACUCAGACACUCAGUCGUCCCGCCACCUCCGCCCCUGUCAUAAAACGAGGCGGGUCCGGAUCCGGGUGGGGGAAGAUGAACAUUUUCUCUUAUCUUGAACUGCUCCGUCCACGUCUCGAUUUUCCUGUCUGAGCAAACCCGCCACGUACUCACCUAUUCAUCACUAAAAAAAUGAAUGAUAUUAAAAUCAUCUCUUACCAAUUACUCUAUUUGUCACAUCAAUCCCAAGUUAAAAUUAUUCAAAUUAAAACUAUAAACUCUAAUGGAUUUUGAGUCUAUAAACUCUAAUGGAUCGAUCAGCGGCGAAACUAGAAAGUUUACGAUUUUGAGUCUAUGAAUGGAUUUUAAUGGUCUCUAAAUUUGAAAAAAAGAUUUUGUAAAAAAUCUAUGAUAAUAACGACAAAUUAUGGACGAUUUAUAAAAACCGUUCAUAAUUUAUGUAUGGAUUUUUUUCGACCUUAAGAAAGGUUAAGUUACAUAAAUUAUGGUGAGACAUGCCUGAUUACGUCAGUCACUCCCAACAACGCCCUUCAAUAAGGACUAGGGUUCCUCCGUUUUAUGCCGGACCCCCGGAGAUCCACGGAUACGGGCAAGUGUCUACGUCAAGUAUUAAAGUCAACACUGGGAAUCGGCGACUGGGACUACCAAGUCGCCGACUCCAAAGGUGAACCGCCGAUUCUAGGCCUCGUUGGUCAGUUCUGGUAGACUGCCAACCUGGCUCAUGGGGAAUCGAUGGCUUCACCCUGAGUCGCCGACUCCCAGCCGUUACUUGACUUGGCCCACGCCAUUAUGACACCUUUAACAGGGCACCAUAAUAGUGUGGGUCCCACGGGUAAUGAAUGAGAAACAUCCCAAAAGACCCUAUAAAAGGGGUCCUUGGGGGGUCUUCUCAUUCAUCAAGUAAUCCCUCCAUUCACUUGACUCCACACUCCAACCAGAGAACCAAGGAGCCCGAGUCGUCGACUCCCACACCUGAGACGCCGACUCCCCUUCACUUCUGCAGGUAUUUGACGUAGAGCGCGCGUCGUGGACUCCAAAGCCUUCGGUCCUCCUCGCGACCCCGCAAGCCUACUGGUAGCAGAUUUCGUGCUUCAUCAAAAUGUUUAGCUGAACUAGUUACAUUUUCAUUACAUGUGGAUCUUUAGAAUUAACCAUAAAGAUCCAUAGUUGGAAUCUCGU
rnacentral:lncRNA from 1 species